CCGCGUCAUUUUUUUUUUCCAGCGGUUGUGUCAUUUAUUCAAUGCAUAAAUCGCAGUUUGGCAAAAAAAUAAAUAAAUGGAAACAAAAUGCGAAAGUGUCAUUUAUUUUUCUCUAGUUUUCUUCCUCCUUUUGAGAGCUUCAGUCUCCUUGUUUCCUAUCGUGUUAGUGGUCUUUUUUGUUCCAUACGGGCAAAGGGGGCCUCUUCUUGUCCGGUCGUGGUCUUCCUCCCCAUCACAAGAAAGAUGAAGCCCGAUCAAUUAUGUUCUCAACACAAAGCGCAUGAUAAGGAGAAUCAGCUGCAUCAUCAUUCAAUGCUUUAAUACUAACCAGGUUGUCAGACUCGACAAUAAGAGAAGAGAGGCCUGCUUCCUUAGCUAAUUGAACCCCAUACAUUAUAGCUUGUGUUUCAGCCAUGGUUGAAUCCCAUGAAGCAGGAACACACUUAGAUGCCGCUAGUAUUACCCCCCUGUUAUUGUGAACGGCACAACUCAAUCUAACAAAAUUGUUACCAUGAACAACUGCAUCAGUGUUUAGCGUAUAAGAACAGAUUGUUGGUGCUGACCAAGAGGCAAUUGGGAACAGCUAGAGUUUAUGUUGCUCAUCAAGUUUAUACAGAUGUGAAUGUGCAUGGGAUAGGAUUGGCUUGAGUUGAGAUCACUUGCACCUGACGUAUUAUAUAUGUGCGUAUGGAUAUGCGCAAGAUAGGACUUCCUUGAGUUAAGCUCUCUUGCAACUAAUAGGUUGAAAUUAAGCGAAAGCGAUUUGAGAGGUUGGAUUAUAGUGGCUACGUGAGCAACUCACAUGUGUUUUAUGGAUUAUAUUGAGUGUGUGAAUUGUUUUCUAUCAUCUUCUUGUAUAGUGACUGAUUAAUUAUUUAUGAUGUGUUGGUUAUGUAUUUUUAUUAAUAGAAUUGCAUUAGAUUUAGACUA